UACACAGAUGACCUGGUUCUGACCGCGGAUGACCCAGAGAACCUCCAAUGUAUGCUAGAUGCCACCAGUCGAGCUGCUGACUGGAUGGGGCUCUGCUUCAAUGCAAAAAAGUGCGCAACUCUCCACAUCAACGGCAGCAAAAGGGAUUCAAUGCAGAUGAUGGAG